rnacentral:miRNA from 1 species
GACGUCGAUAUUCGACGUCAUAAACACGAGCAACUUUGGUGUUUAUGACGUCGAUAUUCGACGUCAUAAACACGAGCAACUUUGGUGCUUAUGACGUCGAUAUUCGACGUCAUAAACACGAGCAACUUUGGUGCUUAUGACGUCGAUAUUCGACGUC